GAAACCUUGAUCCCAACCAAAAUAGAAGGAAUUCUGGCAACAAAAAGAGUUGUGCAAAUUGCCUGCAGCACUUACCAUACUCUGGCAUUAACUUCAGAUAGAGAGGUCUUCUCCUUUGGUCGUAACGAUAGCGGGCAGUUGGGACUGGGACACAAAAAAAGCCAAAAACUUCCAAUCGAAUUGGACUUUCCUUCGGCUGGGAGAAAUGUGACAUCCGUCGCUUGUCUAUAUUUAUCAUCUGUUGCACUCCUAGACUCAGGAGAGGUAUUGGCUUGGGGGAAAAAUGCCGAUGGCAUUUUGGGCCAUAGUGCAGACGACGUGAGGGAGCAAACAAUUCCUCGCAAAGUGCCAGGCUUGGAAGGCAUCACGAUUAAAAGAAUUGUUUGUGGCCAAAAUCACGCACUGGCUUUGUCUAGCGAUGGAAAAAUCUAUUCUUGGGGAGGGAAUGAAUUUUGCCAGCUUGGAAAUGGAACCACCGAAAAUUCACAUGAACCAACUUUGAAAGCUGGAAUUUAUGGCAGGGUAAGAGACCUAGCUGCUAAUUACUGUUGCAGAGUUAAUGCGGCAGUCACAGAAGCUGAUGAAGUAUACAUUUGGGGCG